ensembl:snoRNA
UGGAUCGAUGAUGACUGCCGGUGGCAUAUGAGUCAUAGACAAUAAAUACGUGUCUGGAACUCUGAGGUCCGU